CGAGGUAGGGGAUGUUGUUGGUGUCGGCCGAGGCCACUUUGAAAAACGGCACAUUUAUUUCGUGAAGAAACUCCACCGCCAUCUGACAGAGCUCUUCCCAUCUGAACUGAUGUCUGCGCACCACUGAAAGUACGUAGCUGAAGCCCUGAUGAGUGAUUUUCUGCAGCGCUUCAUUGAUGUGAUGAGGGUGAAGACAUGGAGAGGUGGCCUGAAUAUGACAGAUCACGUCCACCUCUGAAACACACACAGACAAAACUCAGCAGGAACCCUUCAGGAUAUUACACAUUUCUCCAUGGAAAUGAAUUCUAUUUAUGCUAAUUAUUUAUGUUAUUAUGAGACUGAUUAUUAUAAUGAAUGUACAAAUAAUAUUGUGGACUCUACAGUGUUAUUCAUUAAUAUAUAUUAAAUACAACAUUUAUUAAAUAAAAUUGCAUUAUGAUUAUGA